rnacentral:tRNA from 1 species
GGCUACGUGGUCGCAUCGUACUGAGGAGCGCGGGUUCGAUUCCCGCCGUAGCUG